rnacentral:rRNA from 1 species
GACUUCUGGUUUAAUGCACCUGGCCCGCCGCCCACAAGGCCUGUGAGUGCCGGCGCGCGUUUACCAUCCUUCCAGCAACGGCUACCCUUAACUGGGCGGCUGGAACUGGAUCUUUUACUUUGAAAAAAAUUAGAGUGUUUAAAGCAGGCGUUUACUCUGAAUACAUUAGCAUGGAAUAAUAAUCUACCACUUCGGUUCUAUUUUGUUGGUUUCUCUAACUGAAGUAAUGAUUGAGAGGGAUAGUUGGGGGUGCUAGUAUUGGCCGGUCAGAGGUGAAAUUCUUGGAUUCGGUCAAGACUAACUUAUGCGAAAGCAUU